rnacentral:rRNA from 1 species
CCUACGGGAGGCAGCAGUGAGGAAUAUUGGUCAAUGGACGAGAGUCUGAACCAGCCAAGUAGCGUGAAGGAUGACUGCCCUAUGGGUUGUAAACUUCUUUUAUAUGGGAAUAAAAUGUUCCACGUGUGGGAUUUUGUAUGUACCAUAUGAAUAAGGAUCGGCUAACUCCGUGCCAGCAGCCGCGGUAAUACGGAGGAUCCGAGCGUUAUCCGGAUUUAUUGGGUUUAAAGGGAGCGUAGGUGGAUUGUUAAGUCAGUUGUGAAAGUUUGCGGCUCAACCGUAAAAUUGCAGUUGAAACUGGCAGUCUUGAGUACAGUAGAGAUGGGCGGAAUUCGUGGUGUAGCGGUGAAAUGCUUAGAUAUCACGAAGAACUCCGAUUGCGAAGGCAGUUCACUGGACUGCAACUGACACUGAGGCUCGAAAGUGUGGGUAUCAAACAGGAUUAGAUACCCCAGUAGUC